AUUGAACGCUGGCGGCAUGCCUUACACAUGCAAGUCGAACGGUAACAGGUCUUCGGAUGCUGACGAGUGGCGAACGGGUGAGUAAUACAUCGGAACGUGCCCGAUCGUGGGGGAUAACGAAGCGAAAGCUUUGCUAAUACCGCAUACGAUCUACGGAUGAAAGCAGGGGACCGCAAGGCCUUGCGCGAACGGAGCGGCCGAUGGCAGAUUAGGUAGUUGGUGGGAUAAAAGCUUACCAAGCCGACGAUCUGUAGCUGGUCUGAGAGGACGACCAGCCACACUAGGACUUAGACACGGCCCAGACUCCUACGGGAGGCAGCAGUGGGGAAUUUUGGACAAUGGGCGAAAGCCUGAUCCAGCCAUGCCGCGUGCAGGAUGAAGGCCUUCGGGUUGUAAACUGCUUUUGUACGGAACGAAAAGACUCUGGUUAAUACCUUGUGUGGAUGACGGUACCGGAAUAAGAAGCACCGGCUAACUACGUGCCAGCCGCCGCCGUAAAAC
rnacentral:rRNA from 1 species